rnacentral:rRNA from 1 species
GAGUUUGAUCCUGGCUCAGAACGAACGCUGGCGGCGCGUUUUAAGCAUGCAAGUCGAGCGGUAAGCUAACUUCGGUUAGCCUAGAGCGGCGGACGGGUGAGUAACACGUGGAUAAUCUACCUCCUUGUUUGGGAUAGCUUGUGGAAACAUAAGGUAAUACCGAAUGAGAUUCAUUAGUCAAAAGGCUUCUGAAGGAAAGGCGCUGAGGCGUCGCAAGGAGAUGAGUCCGCGGCCCAUUAGCUAGACGGCAGGGUAAAAGCCUACCGUGGCAAUGAUGGGUAGCCGGCCUGAGAGGGUGAUCGGCCACAUUGGAACUGAGAUACGGUCCAGACUCCUACGGGGGGCAGCAGCUAAGAAUCUUCCGCAAUGGACGAAAGUCUGACGGAGCGACGCCGCGUGAACGAUGAAGGCCGUGAGGUUGUAAAGUUCUUUUCGAGAGGAGGAAUAAGGUUUGCAGGGAAUGGCAGACUGAUGACGUUAAUCUCGGAAUAAGCCCCGGCUAACUACGUGCCAGCAGUCGCGGUAACACGUAGGGGGCAAGCGUUGUUCGGAAUUAUUGGGCGUAAAGGGCGUGCAGGCGGCCUUGCAAGUCUGACGUGAAAGAUCUCGGCUUAACCGAGGGAACGCGUUGGAAACUGUAAGGCUUGAGUACAGAAAGGGAUAUUGGAAUUCCAGGUGUAGGGGUGAAAUCUGUAGAUAUCUGGAAGACACCGGUGGCGAAGGCGAAUAUCUGGUCAUGUACUGACGCUGAGACGCGAAGUGCGGGGGAGCAAACGGGUUUAGAUACCCUGGUAGUCCGCACAGUAAACGAUGUACACUAGGUGUCAGUCUNNGACUUGGUACCGAGCUACGCAUUAGUGUACCGCCUGGGAGUAUGCUNCGCAGAGUGAACUCAAGAUNACGNNGNG